rnacentral:rRNA from 1 species
GACGUAGGGCGCGAGCGUUGUCCGGAUUUAUUGGGCGUAAAGAGCUCGUAGGCGGCUUGUUGCGUCGACCGUGAAAACCCGGGGCUCAAUUUCGGGCUUGCGGUCGAUACGGGCGGGCUAGAGUUCGGUAGGGGAGACUGGAAUUCCUGGUGUAGCGGUGAAAUGCGCAGAUAUCAGGAGGAACACCGGUGGCGAAGGCGGGUCUCUGGGCCGAUACUGACGCUGAGGAGCGAAAGCGUGGGGAGCGAACAGG